rnacentral:rRNA from 1 species
GAGUGCGAUUAUAGUAGCACUGAUGCACUAGAUUCCAUCAGAACUUCGCAGUUAAAUGUGCUUGAAUGAGAGUAGUACUAAAUUGGGUGACCACUUGGUAACUCCUGGUCUUACACCCC